UUUAGUUUUUUUUAUUUGGUUUUGUUUGAGUUGGUAUUGAUUUUCAAAUUGUAAUGUUGUUGCUCUUAUAUAAAUGUUUUGGGGAGGUUUUGUUCGGCUCGAUUUGAUUUACAGACAUUGAUGUUCUAGGGUGAACUAAAUGUAGAACUCUAAUUUGAGCAUCUGUUUGGUGUGGUAACAGUGUUUGCAUCUCUUACCUUCUUUAUGUUUGGUGUUGUUUGCGUCAACGGCCGCCAAAUUAGAUUGAUUUUGUUUUAGUUUUGUGACCUUGUGCCUGUGUUUUGGUUCUUUUUUUCCCCCUGUUUUGAUCGGUAUUUCCUUUUGUAUUUUUGUAUCCCUGCUUUUCUUAGCUGUUUUUUCUUUGAAUUUCUUCUUCCUGCAUAACAAUUUAAGUUCUUCAAGGUAUUCUUGUGGCCACAAGAAGAUUGUGCACUCCGGCUCAUGGUGUAGUCCAAGAAGAUCAUGUGUAUUGUUGUAGUGAAAGCGUAUAACCAUUGUCUCAUUUCUUGAAGUCUUGCUUAUCCAACCACAAUUUUCCUUCCACUGUGUCACCCCUGCACAACUUCACAAUUCCGUAAAGGUCGGGUGAUGCUUGCAUAAGAUGUCUGACUGUUGUGUGUGAAAUCCGAGCUACUCUUGAGAUUAUAUCUCCUAGCACGUCGUUUGGUAGUUGUUGAAGUGAGUAGGGUGGUUUCGUUGCAUUUUUGCAAAGUUGGAGAGUAUAUUUUUCUGUGUUUUCUGUAGCGUGCUUUAUAGUGUGGACGUGUGUUACGUUUAUGGGUGUUUAAAAUAUAACUCUUGGCCUCCCAUUAUUUAGUUUUAACUGGACCUUUGAUGUUGAAGUUGUAA